CUGCAUGGCUGUCGUCAGCUCGUGUCGUGAGAUGUUGGGUUAAGUCCCGCAACGAGCGCAACCCUCACUUUUAGUUGCCAUCGUUUAGUUGGGCACUCUGAAAGAACUGCCAGUGAUAAGCUGGAGGAAGGUGGGGAUGACGUCAAGUCCUCAUGGCCCUUACGUGUUGGGCUACACACGUGCUACAAUGGCAUUUACAACAGGAAGCAAAACGGCGACGUUAAGCAAAUCCUAAAAAAAUGCCUCAGUUCGGAUUGUACUCUGCAACUCGAGUACAUGAAGCUGGAAUUACUAGUAAUCGCGGAUCAGCGCGCCGCGGUGAAUACGUUCCCGGGUCUUGUACACACGCA
rnacentral:rRNA from 1 species